rnacentral:rRNA from 1 species
UACGGGAGGCAGCAGUCGGGAAUUUUGGGCAAUGGGCGCAAGCCUGACCCAGCAACGCCGCGUGAAGGAUGAAGUCUUUCGGGAUGUAAACUUCGUAAGAAUGGGAAGAAUCAAUGACGGUACCAUUUGUAAGGUCCGGCUAACUACGUGCCAGCAGCCGCGGUAAUACGUAGGGACCAAGCGUUGUUCGGAUUUACUGGGCGUAAAGGGCGCGUAGGCGGCAGAUUAAGUCAGUUGUGAAAUCUCCGAGCUUAACUCGGAACGGUCAACUGAUACUGAUGUGCUAGAGUGCAGAAGGGGCAAUCGGAAUUCUUGGUGUAGCGGUGAAAUGCGUAGAUAUCAAGAGGAACACCUGAGGCGAAGGCGGGUUGCUGGGCUGACACUGACGCUGAGUGCGCGAAAGCUAGGGUAGCAAACGGGAUUAGAUACCCCGGUAGUCCUAGCCCUAAACGAUGAAUGUUUGGUGUCUGGAGUUUUCAUUCUCCGGGUGCCGUCGCUAACGC